ACGCUGGCGGCACGCCUAAUACAUGCAAGUCGAACGAAGUAGUAAUACUUAGUGGCAGACGGGUGAGUAACAUGUAGGUAUCUUCCCUAUGGUGAGGAAUAACACGAGGAAACUUGUGCUAAUACCUCAUAAGUCUUAACAGAGAAAGCUUUAUGCGCCAUUGGAUGAGCCUGCACUUGAUUAGUUUGUUGGUGGGGUAAUGGCCUACCAAGACAAUGAUCAAUAGCUGAUUUGAGAGGAUGAUCAGCCACAUUGGGACUGAGACACGGCCCAAACUCCUACGGGAGGCAGCAGUAGGGAAUCUUGCACAAUGGGGGAAACCCUGAUGCAGCGAUGCCGCGUGAGUGAAGAAGGCCUUUGGGUUGUAAAGCUCUUUCGUCGGGGAAGAAAAUGACUGUACCCGAAUAAGAAGGUCCGGCUAACUUCGUGCCAGCAGCCGCGGUAAUACGAAGGGACCUAGCGUAGUUCGGAAUUACUGGGCUUAAAGAGUUCGUAGGUGGUUAAAAAAGUUGGUGGUGAAAUCCCAGAGCUUAACUCUGGAACUGCCAUCAAAACUUUUUAGCUAGAGUAUGAUAGAGGAAAGCAGAAUUUCUAGUGUAGAGGUGAAAUUCGUAGAUAUUAGAAAGAAUACCAAUUGCGAAGGCAGCUUUCUGGAUCAUUACUGACGCUGAGGAACGAAAGCAUGGGUAGCGAAGAGGAUUAGAUACCCUCGUAGUCCAUGCCGUAAACGAUGUGUGUUAGACGUUGGAAAUUUAUUUUCAGUGUCGCAGCGAAAGCAAUAAACACACCGCCUGGGGAGUACGACCGCA
rnacentral:rRNA from 1 species